CUUUUAUAUGUUUUCUUUAUCUUCAAGCUAGUUUAGCCCCUCCAUCUGGUGAUCCUCAUGGUUUAUAUAUGGAAUGAAUGCAGAUCAAACCAUGCAAAUUGUAAUUCAUCACAAUCCAGUUUCUCCAAGAUUUCAGAAAGAUUUCUCAAUGACCAGUGAAAAUGGUUUAUUCAUAAACUCUUGCUUUGCUCACUGCCAGUCUGAGAGACAAAAUACAUGGUUUGCUGAUGAUUCUCCUCUUCUUGAAAACCAGGCAAUUGCACUUUUCUGGGGGACCGGUACUUUGAUUGAAGGCUGGUUAAGCUAUUGACUGUGCAUACCCCUGUGAUAACACCAGUCACAAUCUUAACUCAAGUACCUAGCAGAGGCGUCCAAGUUAUGCAAUAAGCAGAAAUCUCUAGUAUGAAGACUCUUGAUAUUCACAUAUAUGGAUAAUCCACAAGGGAAUGAAGACUGUUGAACCAUUACAUUAGACUCUUUGGCUGUUUAUUCCCCUACUGCCAGUUUUGUUAUCUAUCUGAAUUUGUAGAUAUUCAUUGCAGUAGAAAACUUUAUGUGAUUCAAUUUCCACUCAUUUUCACUCUUACUUCCCUGUAACUCCUUAGUCACACACUUGUAUCCUGGAUAUUUCCCUUGGAAAAUUUAACAUGCAAGUUUCCACAUGUGAGUUUCCAGUACUCAACAUUCAAGACUCAGGAAUUCAGUCCCCAGGUUAUUUGAAGUCACAGUCAUCCAUAGAUAGUCAAGCAUACAGUAUAGUGGCAUUUAAUGGUUUCCUUUUGUGCUUUCUGUGUUUUGGUUUUCUAAAAGUACGUGCCCAGCUACAAUUGAAAGGUAAACUGAAGUGAAUUUCCAGAAGUUAAGACAUUCAAAUAGGCAAAAGUAGAAAAUAAAGCCAAGACUGAGGGAUGAAGUUCAA